UACGUAGGGGGCUAGCGUUGUCCGGAAUCAUUGGGGCGUAAAGCGCGUGUAGGCGGUCCGGUAAGUCCGCUGUGAAAGUCGAGGGCUCAACCCUCGAAUGCCGGUGGAUACUGUCGGGCUAGAGUACGGAAGAGGCGAGUGGAAUUCCUGGUGUAGCGGUGAAAAUGCGCAGAUAUCAGGAGGAACACCCAAUUGCGAAAGGCAGCUCGCUGGGGACGUUACUGACGCUGAGACGCGAAACGUGGGGGAGCAAAACAGGGAUUAGAAA
rnacentral:rRNA from 1 species